UCAGCUGCUGUUGCAAUAGAAGACAUAUUGAAAUCAGAUUAGGAAAGUGAGCAUUGUAUGGUGACGGCAGACAAGAGGAUAAAAACGGACGCUCAUGUCAAGCUUGAUGAGGAUUUAGUCCAAACUUUGAAAGACCCUGCAAUGCAGUUUUCAAAGACCACAGUGUCUGAAUUGCAAGCCCCCAGAUGAAGAUGAU